CCUACGGGAGGCAGCAGUAGGGAAUCUUUCACAAUGGGCGAAAGCCUGAUGGAGCAACGCCGCGUGCAGGAUGAAGGCCUUCGGGUUGUAAACUGCUUUUAUAAGCGAGAAAUAUGAUGGUAACUUAUGAAUAAGGAUCGGCUAACUACGUGCCAGCAGCCGCGGUCAUACGUAGGAUCCGAGCAUUAUCCGGAGUGACUGGGUGUAAAGAGUUGCGUAGGUGGCAUAAUAAGUAGCUAGUGAAAUCUGGUGGCUCAACCAUUCAGACUAUUAGCUAAACUGUUAAGCUCGAGACCGUUAGGGGUAACUGGAAUGUCUAGUGCAGGAGUGAAAUCCGUAGAUAUUAGAAGGAACACCAAUAGCGUAGGCAGGUUGCUGGGACGGUUCUGACACUAAGGCACGAAAGCGUAGGGAGCAAACGGGAUUAGAUACCCCAGUAGUC
rnacentral:rRNA from 1 species